GGGUCAGUAGGUUGGUCGUGCCACCGGUACGUACUGGUCUCACUGAUUCCUCCUUCCUGAAGAACCGUAAUGCCAUUAAUUUGGUGUUGCGGGGAAACAGGACUGUUACUUUGAAAAAAUUAGAGUGUUUAAAGCAAGCUAACGCUUGAAUACAUUAGCAUGGAAUAAUGAAAUAGGACGAUCGAUCCUAUUUUGUGGGUCUCUAGGAUUGACGUA
rnacentral:rRNA from 1 species